UUCCGUCAGUUUUNCACAUGGUCACUCGAUUUAGCUGGGAGCUGGCAGAACAAGACAAGCUAGUUUUCUUCCCAACGACGCGGACUCAAAAGCGGUAUCCAAUAAUAGUUCAGCGUAGAAGUGGGUUUCAGUAGAAGAAAACUCGGUAGUCAACGCCCUACAUUUGUACGUAGUAAAUGAAUCUAAUAAAACAUGCAAUGUAGUCAACGCCCUACAUUUAUGAUUAAUAUCUUCUUUUUUUCCUU